GCCACUUGUGAUCUCAGCACUUAUGCUGGAAAGGAGGGCAGGAAGCAUAUCGCAAUGUGUGUCCGGACGAUGACCCAGAAGGGGGGAGUUGUGGUCACCCACGGACUCUGGGUCUGCAUAUGGAGGCCCCCAGGGUGCAAUUCCAGGAGCAGAAGGCAAAGCACAGAGGCCAAAGUGCACCUCGCUGAUGCUUCCCAGGGGCAUUUCCCCAAAUAUGGGGAGCAGUCCCUUCUCUGGGCUAGGGACUUUGUUUCCUCCAUUGUCAUCACUGACUGUGAGCAGACUCUAGUCUAUGCAGACUAAUGAGGAGUUAUCAAAAUGAGCUCCAAACUCCGGAUUUGAGUUAAGGAUCAUAAAUUAACACAGAGAAAUACGACUUUAGCAAUAAGUGACUGUUUGAAGUCCAGGUUGCCUUAAAACACGGAAUUUCAGUCUUUCAGCUCCUCUGCUAAUCUAGUGACUAAGAACAGGAUCUCAGUGGAGCUCAAAGAUGUGGGGCACUGGGAAUACUCUGGGUCUGUCUGCUCACGGCUGAUUGCCUGAUUCCCAGUUUUAUUAUACAGCUUAAAUACAGACCAGAAGAGGAGUUUGGGGCUUGACACCUGACAUCUUAACACCAGUUCCUGUUUCUUGAGGAAGGAAGAGGUAAAAUAAAUCAGCGUUUACUGUGUCCUUCUCCAUCCCCGGAAGUCUUCAUGAAGACCCUCUCAGCUUCAACUUGAACGUGAAUAUGAGCAACUGAUCAUCUGUUCUGCAGUCAGCCCCUGGCCUGAUUCUGACUCAUGAUAUUGACCUUCUCCAUCGUCACCUUCCACAAAUUUGAUUCCUGUCUAUUCUGCCUGGAAUAGUUCACGAGUAUAGUCACCAUUUAUGUUCCUGACGAAAGCAGGAGAAGGCUUCGUGGAGAGAGGCGGAUUCCAUGUGUGCAGGCAAAGUGUGUGCUGAGAUGAUGAGUCGCUGGAGACCAGGGUGGACUCUUCAGACCCAGGAUAGGCCUCUGGCAGGUAUGUGUCAAUAUUUUCUGCCCAUGGCACUCACCCGGGUAUUUGCAUAGAAUGUUAUGAGCGGCAUUAGUAGUCUCCGGAGAGGCUGCCACAUGUCAGCAAGCUUCACCCGUCAGGGUCCGCCCAUGAUGUAGCUCCCCAAUCAAUCACUACUCUCUAGACCUUCCAGAUAGACUAGCAGAUCUUCUCUGCCCAUGGGCAACCAGUAGAGCCAGAGGCCUUCUCCCUUUGCUCUUUCGUCUCUAGGU